UUCAAUUCCUGGUCAGGCACCUAGGACAAUCCACCAAUGAAUGCAUAAAGAAUCAACAAGGCCACUCCACACUCGAGAAGGAGGGAAUUGAGGCCCACCUCCUGAAGGGAGGUGUCUUGAAGAAUCUGUGGACAUCUUUCAAAACCACCACCCUGGCUGCUGGCGGGGGGCCUCAGCUCCUCCCCACGGGGCCUCUCCAUAGGGCCGCUCGGGUGGCCUUAGGACAUGGCAGCUGGCCUUCCACAGAGCAGUGAUCCGAGAGAAAACAAGAAAGAAUCCGCAGUGUC